rnacentral:rRNA from 1 species
GACGAACGCUGGCGGCGUGCCUAAUACAUGCAAGUUGAGCGAUGAAGAUUGGUGCUUGCACCAAUUUGAAGAGCAGCGAACGGGUGAGUAACGCGUGGGGAAUCUGCCUUUGAGCGGGGGACAACAUUUGGAAACGAAUGCUAAUACCGCAUAACAACUUUAAACAUAAGUUUUAAGUUUGAAAGAUGCAAUUGCAUCACUCAAAGAUGAUCCCGCGUUGUAUUAGCUAGUUGGUGAGGUAAAGGCUCACCAAGGCGAUGAUACAUAGCCGACCUGAGAGGGUGAUCGGCCACAUUGGGACUGAGACACGGCCCAAACUCCUACGGGAGGCAGCAGUGGGGAAUCUUCGGCAAUGGACGAAAGUCUGACCGAGCAACGCCGCGUGAGUGAAGAAGGUUUUCGGAUCGUAAAACUCUGUUGGUAGAGAAGAACGUUGGUGAGAGUGGAAAGCUCAUCAAGUGACGGUAACUACCCAGAAAGGGACGGCUAACUACAUG